rnacentral:lncRNA from 1 species
UGAAGAAUGACUAUUUCUAAGGCAAUAGUUUUAAGUGCAGUGGAAACGCUGAGUCAUGGCUUGAACCAGUGAUUGAGCACCUGGUGUGAAGGCAGGACUAAGCCAGGGGAGCUCAUGUUCAAGCAGUGCACCUGAGUGAUCAGAACCUUCCCAGACCUCAUUUAAGGGUUGGCAGUGGAGCAUCUCACAUCUGAGCAUCUUCUGAAGUGUUGUGGGAUAGAGUUUAGGAGGUUUGAGAGAAAAGACAAUGAAGAACACUAGAGUCUGGGUGGUCUACAUCAUACCCAUCUACAUUUGCUGAUUUCACAUUGAAUACUUCUGUAGCAACACUAAUGCCCUCAGGACUUUGUGGUUGAUGCUAGGUAUUGUAAGGUGACACACUGGCAGCAUUGAUUUCCAGAGGAAGGCUGCCAAUGGAAAUAAGAAACCAUUGAAGAGACUGGCCUUGUAUGUGAUUGAUUCAAAUGUAAGAGAGACAUUGCAGGAAUAUUUCCACUGUGGUUAACCAG